rnacentral:rRNA from 1 species
UACGUAGGUGGCAAGCGUUGUCCGGAUUUACUGGGCGUAAAGGGCGUGCAGGCGGUUCGUUAAGUUCAGGGUGAAAGCUCCCGGCUCAACUGGGAGAGGUCUCUGGAUACUGGCGGACUUGAGGGAGGUAGAGGAGAGUGGAAUUCCCGGUGUAGUGGUGAUAUGCGUAGAUAUCGGGAGGAACACCAGUGGCGAAGGCGGCAUCCUGGACCAAUUCUGACACUGAGGAGCGAAAGCCAGGGGAGCAAACGGG